AUACGUGAUGACUUCCAUGGCAUCUUGUCUGGCUGAUGACUUGCUGCUGAGACUUGGUAAUCUGAUUUAA